UGAGCAAUUAAAAUGUUAAAUAUUCGAAAUAUUGCAAACAAAACCCUAAGGGUUCCUUGAAAAUCAAAGCAUUUGCACAAAGCAUUUCAUGCAUCAUUCUUGCAUAAACAGGUACCCUUUGUUUCUGGUCUUCCGGUUCUAACAAUCUGUUCUUCAUUUAUUUUGAAGACAAGCUGACUCACCGGUAUUAUACGAGAGUCAACUCUGCAAGGAUUAUGGAGCAAUUGGAACAAGAGAACCAGAGCUUGAGAGAUGAAGUCGCCAGACUUGGCG
rnacentral:lncRNA from 1 species